UUCAUUUCAACAUUCAGCGUUAACAGACCUUGAGAGUUGACAAAAUCUCUCUCACUUUUGAACAGGGAAAAAUGAGAAGGAGCAGGUACUACAGAUACAAACCUGUGAAAGAUGUGCAGUCUGUGGAGGCAGUUUCUACAUCUCUCAAUGAGGGAAUUAACUCUAUCAUUAACAUUUGCAAGUCCCUCAAGGAAGCACAUAUCAGUCCCAUCACUGACACAUGCUCCAAUUACAACCAAAUUAGGAAACAUAUCACGCAUGCUGAGCAGUGCUUGAAUACAUCUGAGAAAAUGAUUCAAGGAAAACUGAGAGAUCUGGAUGAAAGCAUGUGCCAACUUAUAAGAGAGAAACAAAAUGUUGAGCAACAGAAAAAAGAGAAAAAUCUGGCUUUGGAUAAUUUAUACAUAAAGAAGUCUUCUGCUGUGGAAUUAUUGAGGAAUUCCAAAGGGGCUUUG